rnacentral:piRNA from 1 species
UUGAAUGUUAGGAAUGCAGGUACUUAG